CCCAGCGCUAUGCGCUGGGCUGAUAUCUUACGCGCUUACAGCGCU
rfam:Prevotella marshii DSM 16973 genomic scaffold SCAFFOLD1, whole genome shotgun sequence.